rnacentral:rRNA from 1 species
GAUGAACGCUGGCGGCGCGCCUAACACAUGCAAGUCGAACGAUUAAAGCACCUUCGGGUGUGUAUAAAGUGGCGAACAGCUGAGUAACACGUGGGCAACCUGCCCCUCUCAUUGGGAUAGCCACGGGAAACCGUGGAUAAUACCGAAUACUUCGGGACUUCCGCAUGGAAGACUCGAGAAAGCUCCGGCGGAGAGGGAUGGGCCCGCGGCCUGUUAGCUUGUUGGUGGGGUAAUGGCCUACCAAGGCAAUGAUGGGUAGCUGGGUUGAGAGACCGACCAGCCAGAUUGGGACUGAGACACGGCCCAGACUCCUACGGGAGGCAGCAGUGGGGAAUCUUGCACAAUGGGCGAAAGCCUGAUGCAGCGACGCCGCGUGCGGGAUGAAGGCCUUCGGGUUGUAAACCGCUUUCAGCAGGGACGAGGCGAAAGUGACGGUACCUGCAGAAGAAGCCCCGGCUAACUACGUG